rnacentral:rRNA from 1 species
UACGGAGGAUCCGAGCGUUAUCCGGAUUAUUGGGUUUAAAGGGUGCGUAGGCGGCCUAUUAAGUCAGGGGUGAAAGACGGUAGCUUAACUAUCGCAGUGCCCUUGAUACUGAUGGGCUUGAAUGUACUUGAGGUAGGCGGAAUGUGACAAGUAGCGGUGAAAUGCAUAGAUAUGUCACAGAACACCAAUUGCGAAGGCAGCUUACUAAAGUAUGAUUGACGCUGAGGCACGAAAGCGUGGGGAUCAAACAGG